rnacentral:rRNA from 1 species
UACGUAGGGGGCAAGCGUUAUCCGGAUUUACUGGGUGUAAAGGGAGCGUAGACGGCGAUGCAAGCCAGAUGUGAAAGCCCGGGGCUCAACCCCGGGACUGCAUUUGGAACUGUAUAGCUAGAGUGUCGGAGAGGCAGGCGGAAUUCCUAGUGUAGCGGUGAAAUGCGUAGAUAUAUGGAAGAACACCAGUGGCGAAAGCGGCUCUCUGGUCUGUAACUGACGCUGAGGUUCGAAAGCGUGGGUAGCAAACAGG